rnacentral:tRNA from 1 species
ACUUAAAUAGCUUAAAUUUAGAGCAUAACACUGAAGAUGUUAAGGUGAUUAAUUAAUCUUUGAGUA